UCAGCUGAGCAUCCAAUUUCGGCUCAGGUCAUGAUCUUAUGGUUCACAGGUUUGAGCUCCGCAUCAGACUCGAUGCUGUCAGCACAGAGCCCCCUUCGGAUCCUCAGUCCUCAUCUCUCUCUGCCCUUCCCUGCCCUGGUGUGCAUGUGCCUUCUCCCUGUCUCCCUCAAAGAUAAUUAAAAUUUAUGGGGCGCCUGGUUAAUUCAUGUCAAAAUGUAUACAAACAAGUUAAUUUUACCAUGACUUGGUGAGAAAACAUCAUCCACAGAAUUCAGACACAACACUGGAAUUCCUACUGAUUUUAGUCUACGAUUAGGGCUGGCGUCAGUAUAAUAAUCAUCAAUUGUUCGGUAUCCAAACAUGACUGAAG